UUUUAUAUUCAUCAAAAUCAAUCUUUGAGUCAAUAAAUACAGAGAAGAUUAACAUAGGUCCUAUGCAAGAAUGACAUGCACAAAUCGAGAAAUGGUCCCUUUUUUU